GAUUUCUUUUAGAUCUUUAUAUUCUUUUAGAUAAGAAAUGUCCUUUUAAAAAUUGCAAGACAUCUCAAGACAUAGCAAGACGUCUUUUAGAAAUCUAAAGACAUCAUUUUGUUUAUUUGGGUAUACAUUGUUUUGUAUAUUGUUUUAUUUAUUAAAAUUCUAUAAUCAGGAUUAAUUCGGAUGAAAGAAAAUGGCAGAGAGAAAAGAACGCGUUCAGUUUCUUGACGCCGAAUCCAAUGAAUUAUAUGAGUGCUUUUUAUCCCCCGAAGAUGCUCGGCGAGUAUCAGCAGAUAUGAUAUUUGCCCAGCACGUCUUCAACGGAUUAAUUCGUGAGAAACUAACAAAAAGAAAUUCUAAUGAAAGCGAGACUUCACCAGCGCAUGAAGCCACUGCAGAUAAUACUGAUAAUACAGUUCGUGAAGGAAUAACCUGGACACACGAGCAAACAUUGCUGUUAAUUACUACAUAUCGGCAAGAAUAUUCAAAGAUGGGCAAUGGUAAAUUACUCUUGCGAAAGUUGUGGCAGCUGGUUGCCGAAAAGAUGAAAGAGAAUGAUCACAACAUUCCAGCAACCAAAUGCGCCACAAAAAUGGAUACCCUAAAACGGCAAUAUAAAAAAGUGUUAGACCACAAUAAACAAUCUAGCAACGAUUUAAUGACGUAUAAGUAUUUUGAUGAACUAGACGAGAUUUUCAGAAAACAACCUUGGGUGAAACCGGUUGCGAUUGCAAGCUCUGAAUUGCAAGAUAAAACGUUCGAAAAUAUAGAUGAGCGUAACUCGUCCUCAGGUAACACGCAGGAUCAAAACGUAAAAGAAUUCUAGAAGAUAUUUUAGAAGAGAGAAAAAAUAAAGGAGCGAAAACAGAAGAGUACAGAAACGAGAAACUUGGGCUUAUGAAGGAGCUGAUUGAGAUAUUAAAAAAAAAGCAAUGAAGAUGCAGAUGAUAAAAAAAGCGGGUUAUCCUGCGCAAGCCCACUUUGUACUGACAAAGGACGGUUAUCUCUUAACACUACAUCGUAUCUCAGGAGACAAUAAACCACUUAUGUUACUGCAACACGAUCUUUUGUUCAACACGGUCUCUGUUGAUUGAAUUAUUUCUGGGAAUCACUUGGUAUCACCUUAAUUAAAUUGAGAAAUUGCUGCUUUAUUUUUUUUUCUAAGAUAUCUUCUUCUAGAAUUACGUUUCUUUCAUGCUUUAAUCCUUCAUCUAUAAUAAAAGUUUUAUACUUUGUACGUAUAAAACAAGCAUAGUUGUAAUUUAGGAUAACACGAAAAGAACAAUACUGUGAUUUUAAAAAUAAACUAGGAGCUUUAGUAUAAAACUGAAAAUGUACGUGUGCGUGCGUCAUCGAUUUAGUUUAUAGUUAUUGCUAUAUCAAUAUCGCACGCAUACAUAGCUCAAUUUAACUGGUGAAACUAACGUCGCUGAUUUUCUUAAGUGUGUGUAUUUAAGUAAAUAU